AGGGAGGGGAGGGAGAGAGGAGGAAGGGGUGAGAGGGAGAAACCUGCCGCGGCUCUCCGCCUCUUUGUCUGCUCUGGGACUUGGAACAAAAGGGGAAACUCUGAUGAACUCCUUCUCCAGCUCCCUGGACGCCCGAGUAUCUCUUUCUCGCAACUUUGUCAACGCGACUUUCUCCGCUGUCAGGCUGCGCAAAAGUAUCCUAGCGCCUCGCAGGCUGCAACAAUGGAAACAAUGUCCCUUCAAAGUGCGACGAAGUGGAGGGAGAAGGUGUCAUACCAGCGACUCCAAGAGUCAUGUCACCCACUUAGCAGGAGUACUUCUACUGAAAUGCCUUCGAAUUUCUCUUACUGGAUAUAUACCUACCAGCCGCUAGCAUGAAGAUGCCAGGACCGCUGCAAGUUAGCACUGGACAAAGUAGCAUCAACUUCUUCAUUUAGAGUUUCUUCAGUUAAAUUGCUGGGAUUUUCGACAAGGCUUUCCUUAUGUGGAUUAUUGGAGUGUGAUGCCCGAGAAUUCUCUACUUGUAGAAGCACGCCCACGGGACUGCAGAAGCCUUCACACCCACCCAGCACGCUCAGAUCAUCCAGUAACCAACCCAGGAAGUUCUUGUAAGCAUGCAUUUCUUAGUCAACACUGAAUGCCUUUAGACCGAGGUCAACCUUUUCAGCUGGUACCGUGGUUUACACUGCUGAUGGGAAUGAGUGAUGGCCAUCCAGUGACCAGCUGGAUCUGACUGCCUUACAAGACGCAUGUGUAUGAUUAAGAGAGAGACAUUCGUGACUCCCAGAUGUACCUCCUUCCUGUCCCACAGUGUUCCUGAAGGGAGUGAGUUAUGGGGUAACUUAUAACACAGCAGGCUCUUCCUCAAGAUAGCUCUUGUCAAAACAGGAAGACGAAACUCGGGUUUCCAUGAGGAGACCACAGCUUGGGAUCCUGUCUGGAUGUACAAGCAGAAGCAUCUUCAUACUUUUCCAUUUCUAACCAUCAUGCCUCACCCCACCCUCCCAAGGCGACAUCUGCAGAGAGGUGGAACCAUCUAGGGAGGCCUGCCACUGUUUGCUGAGCUCCGGGUGAGGAUGAAGACACUUUGACAUGGCCAGCUUCAGACUCGGGAUCUGUCGGUGUUAGCAGCCGAAGGAGAAUGAGGAGGAAGAGGAGGAGAAAGAGGAGGAGGAAGUAAGACAGAGGGGGACAAGAGGACCAAGAGGGCACAUGGCUGAGGAGGAGGAGAACAACAACAACAACAACAACAACAACAACAACAAGAAGCUUGGUGGUGAAACUUGGAAGCCCUCUCCAGGAUGCAGCAGGUAGCUGAGGAGAAAACGAAGACUGACCAGCCCAGAGCUCAGAGCUUCCUCCCAUGCUCAGGAUUUACCACCAAUGCCAUUACAUCGGCCUCUUCUUGUAUGCCUCUGGAAACCACAUGUGUCCUCUGUUUGUAAUGGUUUGGCUAUGGUUGCUGGCCCCUCUUGGACAUUGUUUUCAGAACUUAAAGAAACAUUGCUUUAAAGAUUUAUUAGAACAUAUUUAAAAUAAAACCAUCUUCUCAUUUAGUAUGCAAUUGAUUCUUCCCAUUUCCUCAGUCAAAACUCAUUGAUCAAAUUUAUUUGAGAAAUCCAGACAUGUAUAUAGCGUAUUGGGGUUAUUCCCAUCCUCCCCCAUAUUCUCUUAUCUCCCUUCCAGCCCUGACGCCCUCAGUCCUCCCUAUGGGCCUAUUCACACAAUCAUGUCUUUUUGUUUUAUGAACCAUUGAUUUUAACCGGGGCCAUCUGUGUUGCCAUGGCUUUAGAAUUAUCUACUGGAACUGGUUGGCUCAAAAUAGACAAAGACUUUCCCUUCCCCCAAGUCCAUCAUAGCUAGGAAUUCAGUCCCUCCGGUCCCCUCCCCAAUUCAUAAUUGACUGUUAGAAAGCCUAGUUUAAUGCAGGCCCUGUGUAGGUACCCAUAGCUACUGUGAGGUCACACCUGAAGAUGUGAAGCCCUUUUCCCUGUCUUCCAUUUCCACUUCUGUGUUCCCUGAGCCCUAGAUGGGAUAGUAUGAAUGUUCUGAUAAUCCGACCAAGUGGUAGUAUAUGUGUUCACUUAGAUAAAACAAAGACAAUACCAAUAGGAAAUGUAUUAUAAGCCCUGCACAUGCUAAAAAUAUAUGUAGCAAAUAACAUUAUUAUAUAAAUUCAGGGUCAUUGCUCUAUGUCAAUGUCAGUGACGUAUCAGUUUCAAAGGAUUUAUAUCACUGUUAAGUUAGAAAUAAUCCACUCUUGCUUGUUGUACAGUGCAUUUGUCCAGAUAGCCUACAAAAA
rnacentral:lncRNA from 1 species